rnacentral:rRNA from 1 species
AAACAUUGAUAGUCAUUACACCCACCAUCCGCCCGGGAACUACGAGCNCCAGCGUAAAACCCAAAGGACUUGGCGGUGCUUAGACCCACCUAGAGGAGCCUGUUCUAGAACCGAUAACCCCCGUUCAACCUCACCCUCUCUUGUUUUCCCCGCCUAUAUACCGCCGUCGUCAGCUUACCCUGUGAAGGUCUUAUAGUAAGCAAAAUUGGCAUAGCCCAAAACGUCAGGUCGAGGUGUAGCGUAUGAGAGGGAAGAAAUGGGCUACAUUCUCUGCCCCAGAGAACACGAACGGUGUAAUGAAACACACACCUGAAGGAGGAUUUAGCAGUAAGUAGAAAAUAGAGCGUCCU